CACCACCUGCCCUCACACAGCCUUGCUCCCCAAUAACCUCCUUCCAGCCACUGAGCCUGCCACAGACUGGUGGAGAGAAGGGCACUUAUGAAUGUGCCGUGAGCUAGAGAAAGCCACCUCACAGGGCCAGUACCGCCAGCAUCCGCCAGCAGUAUGGCGUAAGCACACCCAGGGAGCCAGGCCCAACAGGGAAACGUACUGUAGCCACAAGAAGUGGGUGCCUUUUUGCUGAAGGCUAAGGCUUGGCAGAUUAGAAAUCAGAUUAUCUUUUGCUUUCAUGACAAUGGAGUCAUCGUUUCCUGGGAAAGAAUGAAGGAAGGGGCUCGAGUGUAGGAAAUUAUUUCCUUGGUAGAACAGGAAAGGAGUCACGGACUGUUAACACCCUCCCCACAUUCCAGCGGCUGAAACGCUUGCUGGCUGCCUGGUUCAAAAUAAACCGUGCCAGCACUCCAUGCUUCAG
rnacentral:lncRNA from 1 species